AAAACACUAUCAGUCUCAAAAAGGGUGAUCUUCAGUCUUACUCUUUUGUUGGGUACAAUUUUUUCUGCUCUAGGCAUUAAGCUGUGGGCUGCGCUUCGUCACCUAAUCCACCCCACCACAGUCCCCCGCAGGGUCCCCAAAUCCAAUGUCUACAGUGGACAGGCAGACCAUAAAAUGAGUGAAACAAGCUGGAAGGAGUGUUCCUUGAAACUCAUCUUAGGAGACCCUGCUUUGGUAGACAAGGACAUUACCCUCAGCUCUACGUACUUCAAAAGGGAAUAUGUUAUCUGCUGAAAAGAAUUCCAAAGAAGACAGACGACGUGCUUUUCAACAUCCCUAGCCUUCAACAGAUACACAGGAAUUACCCAUAUAUCUGAUAUCAGGCAACAAUAACAACUUGGACACACGAUUAAUAAAAUCCAUUUAUUGGCCUCUUUUUGAUGUUAGACAGCCUAUGGGGCAAAGAGAGAGAAAUUUAAACUUGUGUCUCUUUGCUCAACUUAUCGUGUCAAUUCCAGUCACUAAGCGAGUCUCUUACAGGGAUGUCAAACAGGUUUUUUCUCUCAUGACAACUGCGAUCAAUGGUUAGUGGCUGCCUGGAGCUCUGUGUUGAAGAUGAUUAUAAGACCUUCAACGGGUUUGGAGGGGAAAUAUGCUGUGAUUGAUUCUUAAUGUCUGUUGUGAGUGCAGUGCUGGGAUUGAUUGUUGAGGUCUGUUGUGGGUGCAGAAUAGCAGAAGGCAUAAAAUGCUUGUUGUGUGUUUCCUCAGCAAAAACCAGUCUUCUUACAAACUAACCAUGUUGUUUUGGUUGGCAAAUUAAGACUUAAUACACUUAAGUGCCAAAAUGAGUGGUUAAGACGAGUCUAUAGAGUCAGAAAAAAGGGCUUCCUUCAGGUCUUAAGGUCAAGAUAAAUUGCAUGCAAGAACUGAGUUGGAGCUUGGAGGGUGGGAAGGUGGGGUCUUUUGAGGAGACCCCAGAAGAAAUUCUCAGGAGAGACUGCUAAUGAGCUGC
rnacentral:lncRNA from 1 species